rnacentral:rRNA from 1 species
AGUGAACGCUGGCGGUAGGCCUAACACAUGCAAGUCGAACGGCAGCACAGUAAGAGCUUGCUCUUACGGGUGGCGCGUGGCGGACGGGUGAGGAAUACAUCGGAAUCUACUUUUUCGUGGGGGAUAACGUAGGGAAACUUACGCUAAUACCGCAUACGACCUACGGGUUAAAGCAGGGGAUCUUCGGACCUUGCGCGAUUGAAUGAGCCGAUGUCGGAUUAGCUAGUUGGCGGGGUAAAGGCCCACCAAGGCGACGAUCCGUAGCUGGUCUGAGAGGAUGAUCAGCCACACUGGAACUGAGACACGGUCCAGACUCCUACGGGAGGCAGCAGUGGGGAAUAUUGGACAAUGGGCGCAAGCCUGAUCCAGCCAUACCGCGUGGGUGAAGAAGGCCUUCGGGUUGUAAAGCCCUUUUGUUGGGAAAGAAAAGCAGCAGGUUAAUACCCCGCUGUUCUGACGGUACCCAAAGAAUAAGCACCGGCUAACUUCGUG